rnacentral:rRNA from 1 species
GAUGAACGCUGGCGGCGUGCUUAACACAUGCAAGUCGAACGGGAUCCAAGGGGUGCUUGCACUUUUUGGUGAGAGUGGCGAACGGGUGAGUAACACGUGAGUAACCUGUCCUUUUCUUUGGGAUAAGCAUUCGAAAGGGUGUUUAAUACCUUAUGUUCUGUCUGCCUCGCAUGGGGUGGGUGGGAAAGGCUUUGGCCGGAUUUGGGUGGGCUCGCGGUCUAUCAGCUUGUUGGUGGGGUGAUGGCUUACCAAGGCUUUGACGGGUAGCCGGCCUGAGAGGGUGGUCGGUCACAUUGGGACUGAGAUACGGCCCAGACGCCUGCGGGAGGCAGCAGUGGGGGAUAUUGCACAAUGGGCGAAAGCCUGAUGCAGCGACGCCGCGUGGGGUAUGAAGGCCUUCGGGUUGUAAACUUCUUUUGCUCUGAACAAGGCAUGCCAGUGGGUGUGUGGAGUGUAGGGGUUGAUUAGCGCCGGCUAACUACGUG